GGCAGCACAUAUACUCUUAAAAAAAAACAAUGGAACGACACAGUGGAGAUUAGCAUGGCCCCUGCGCAAGGAUGACAUGCAAAUUUGGAAGUGGUCCAUAUUAAA